rnacentral:rRNA from 1 species
GACGAACGCUAGCGGCGUGCCUAAGGUAUGCAAGUCGAACGGGGGCUUCGGCCCUAGUGGCGAACGGUUGAGUAACACGUAAACAACCUGCCUCCAAGCGGGGGAUAACUGCGGGAAACUGCAGCUAAUACCGCAUGUGGUGGGGAAGGGCCUCCUUCCUUUACCAAACGGGCAAUCGGUUUGGAGAUGGGUCUGCGGCCUAUCAGCUAGUUGGUGGGGUAACGGCCUACCAAGGCGACGACGGGUAGCCGGCCUGAGAGGGCGACCGGCCACACUGGGACUGAGACACGGCCCAGACUCCUACGGGAGGCAGCAGUGGGGAAUCUUGCGCAAUGGGCGAAAGCCUGACGCAGCGACGCCGC